rnacentral:misc_RNA from 1 species
GAACGUGGAGCUCGCUUAGUUGGAGCUGGCAUCGUAGGGAUUGUAAAGAAACUAGACAGACUUUCUAAUAGGAUUAGCAUUAUUACUGUAGAAGGUGGUGUCUAUGAGCAUUAUCGUGUUUUCAGGAACUAUCUGCAUAGCAGUGUAUGGGAGAUGCUUGGCAAUGAAUUUUCUGACAAUGUGAUUAUUGAACAUUCUCAUGGUGGUUCUGGAGCCAGUUC